UUAAAAAGAUUUUCUAAUUUAUGCAUGGAAAACGAAAUGCUACAUUUUCAUGCACAAAUCUCAUUGUAUUCAUAAGUCGAAGACGACGAUGAAGGAGAAGGAAACGAAAUAAUUUAAUUUAACCCCUCAAUGAGAACAAUUACAAAUGCUAUUAAAGUCGUUUCUAGAUUUGUUGCAAGGAAAAAUAAUUGCAAAUAUAUACCCAAGCAGCAUCGAUGUCGAUGCCCUAUCAUCCAUCCAACCAUCUGCAGCAAUGAAUCGACGCGCUACGAAUUUUAUGUGGGCCAAGAAUAACAAAAGCAGCAACAAUUUGGCCUUAGAAAAGUUAAACCGUAAAGACACACUUUGGAGGAAAAGCAAAAUUUUCGACACAAUAAAAACACAAACAACAACAAAAAUAAUCACAACAGACGGUCGUUCCGAGCCAACGCAAGUAGUAAUGAAGCUUAAGUACAACGAUCGCCCGAAAUGGGACCACAAGCUCAGGAUAUACAAGGGAGAAGGAAAUGCUUAAUGAAAAUAACAAUAAAAAAUGUGUUGAUACAGUU